rnacentral:rRNA from 1 species
AAGCUGUGGAAGCACAUUUCUUGUGUGACCGCGUACUUUUUGUAGAACGGGCCAACGAGUUACGUUAAGUAGCAAGGUUAAGCACUUAAGGUGCGGAGCCGUAGCGAAAGCGAGUUUUAACUGAGCGUUCAGUUAUUUGACGUAGACCCGAAACCGGGCGACCUACCCAUGAGCAGGAUGAAGCGAAAGUAAAAUUUCGUGGAGGUCCGAACCCACGAGCGUUGAAAAGCUCGGGGAUGACUUGUGGGUAGCGGUGAAAUUCCAAUCGAGCCCGGAGAUAGCUGGUUCUCCCCGAAAUAGCUUUAGGGC